AUACGGGGGUGGCAAACGUUGUUCGGAAUCACUGGGCAUAAAGCGUGUGUAGGCGGUUUUGCAAGUGAGGUGUGAAAGCCCUGGGCUCAACUCAGGAAUUGCGCCUCAAACUGCAUGACUUGAGUAUCGGAGAGGGAUGUGGAACUCUAGGUGGAGCGGUGAAAUGCGUAGAUAUCUAGAGGAACGCCGGUGGCGAAAGCGGCAUCCUGGCCGGUUACUGACGCUCAGACACGAAAGCUAGGGGAGCAAACAGGAUUAGAAACCCCAGUAGUCC
rnacentral:rRNA from 1 species